GCCAGGCACAGUGGUGCACACCUGUAAUCCCAGUGGCUUGGGAGGCUGAGGCAGGAGGAUCCUGAGUUUGAAGACAGCCUCAGCAACAGUGAAGUACUAAGCAACUCAGUGAGAUCCUGUCUCUA
rnacentral:sRNA from 1 species